rnacentral:rRNA from 1 species
CCUACGGGAGGCAGCAGUGAGGAAUAUUGGUCAAUGGGCGCGAGCCUGAACCAGCCAAGUCGCGUGAGGGAUGAAUGUUCUAUGGAUCGUAAACCUCUUUUAUAAGGGAAUAAAGUGUGGGACGUGUCCUAUUUUGUAUGUACCUUAUGAAUAAGGAUCGGCUAACUCCGUGCCAGCAGCCGCGGUAAUACGGAGGAUCCGAGCGUUAUCCGGAUUUAUUGGGUUUAAAGGGUGCGUAGGUGGCAUUUUAAGUCAGUUGUGAAAGUUUGUGGCUCAACCGUAGAAUUGCAGUUGAAACUGGGAGGCUUGAGUAUGGUUGAGGCAGGCGGAAUGCGUGGUGUAGCGGUGAAAUGCUUAGAUAUCACGCAGAACUCCGAUUGCGAAGGCAGCUUGCCAAGCCAUGACUGACGCUGAUGCACGAAAGCGUGGGUAUCAAACAGGAUUAGAUACCCGGGUAGUC